rnacentral:rRNA from 1 species
UCUGGUUAUAAUAGCAGAGAGGAUACACCUGUUCCCAUUCCGAACACAGAAGUUAAGCUCUCUAGCGCUGAUGGUACUUGGUGGGAAACUGCCUGGG